rnacentral:rRNA from 1 species
GACGAACGCUGGCGGCGUGCCUAAUACAUGCGAGUCGAGCGAACAGACGAGGAGCUGGCUCCUCUGACGUUAGCGGCGGACGGGUGAGUACCAUGUGGAUAACCUACCUAUAAGACUGGGGUAACUUCGGGAAAUCGGGGCUAAUACCGGAUAAUAUAUUGAACCGCAUUGUUCAAUAGUGAAAGACGGUUUUGCUUUCACUUAUAGAUGGCUCAGCGCCGGAUUAGCUAGUUGGUAAGGUAACGGCUUACCAAGGCAACGAUGCGUAGCCGACCUGAGAGGGUGGUCGGCUACACUGGCAGUGAGACACGGUACAGACUCCUACGCGAGGACGCAGUAGGGACUCUUCCGCAAUGGGGGAAAGCGUGACGGUGCAACGCCGCGUGAGUGAUGAAGGUGUUAGGAUCGUAAAACUAUGUAAUUAGGGAGGAAGAAAUGUGUAAGUAACUAUGCACGUCAUGACGGUACCUAAUGAGAAAGCCACGGCUAACUACGUG